AAGCCAGCCAAUUAAUAUGCUUAUCUAAAUGUGCUUCUGCAGAAAUUUAGAAACAACUGGCAAUAGUAAUGCCAUUUUUUGAGCCUUAAGGGUAACUGAAGUUAGUCAUUACAGUUCCUCAAAAUGGCUAUAAUA
ensembl:snoRNA